AGAGUUUGAUCAUGGCUCAGGAUGAACGCUAGCUACAGGCUUAACACAUGCAAGUCGAGGGGAAACGACAUCGAAAGCUUGCUUUUAAUGGGCGUCGACCGGCGCACGGGUGAGUAACGCGUAUCCAACCUGCCCACCACUUGGGGAUAACCUUGCGAAAGUAAGACUAAUACCCAAUGACGUCUCUAGAAGACAUCUGAAGGAGAUUAAAGAUUUAUCGGUGAUGGAUGGGGAUGCGUCUGAUUAGCUUGUUGGCGGGGUAACGGCCACAAGGCGACGAUCAGUAGGGGUUCUGAGAGGAAGGUCCCCCANAUUGGAACUGGAGACACGGUCCAAACUCCGUACGGGAGGCA
rnacentral:rRNA from 1 species